rnacentral:rRNA from 1 species
UCGGACGGGUGAGUAACGCGUGGGUAACCUGCCUCACACUGGGGGAUAACAGUUAGAAAUAGCUGCUAAUACCGCAUAAGACCACAGCACCGCAUGGUGCAGGGGUAAAAACUCCGGUGGUAUGAGAUGGACCCGCGUCUGAUUAGCUGGUUGGUGGGGUAACGGCCUACCAAGGCGAUGAUCAGUAGCCGGCCUGAGAGGGCGACCGGCCACAUUGGGACUGAGACACGGCCCAA